UACAGAGGGUGCGAGCGUUAAUCGGAAUUACUGGGCGUAAAGCGUGCGUAGACGGCUAUCUAAGUCGGGUGUGAAAGCCCCGGGCUCAACCUGGGAAUUGCAUUCGAGACUGAAUAGCUAGGGUACGGUAGAGGGAAGCGGAAUUUCCGGUGUAGCGGUGAAAUGCGUAGAUAUCGGAAGGAACAUCAGUGGCGAAAGCGGCUUCCUGGAC
rnacentral:rRNA from 1 species